rnacentral:rRNA from 1 species
CAGGCUAACGCUUGAAUACAUUAGCAUGGAAUAAUGAAUAGGACGUUCGAUCCUAUUUUGUUGGUUUCUUAGGAUUGACGUAAAUGAUUAAUAGGGAUAGUUGGGGGCAUUAGUAUUCAAUGUCAGAGGUGAAAUUCUUGGAUUUAUUGAAGACUAACUACUGCGAAAGCAUUUGCCAAGGAUGUUUUCAUUAAUCAAGAACGAAAGUUAGGGGAUCGAAGACGAUCAGAUACCGUCGUAGUCUUAACCAUAAACUAUGCCGACUAGGGAUCGGAUGAUGUUAAUUUUAUAAUGACUCAUUCGGCGCCUUACA